AUUGAACGCUGGCGGCAGGCCUAACACAUGCAAGUCGAGCGGAUGAAGGGAGCUUGCUCCUGGAUUCAGCGGCGGACGGGUGAGUAAUGCCUAGGAAUCUGCCUGGUAGUGGGGGAUAACGUCCGGAAACGGGCGCUAAUACCGCAUACGUCCUGAGGGAGAAAGUGGGGGAUCUUCGGACCUCACGCUAUCAGAUGAGCCUAGGUCGGAUUAGCUAGUUGGUGGGGUAAAGGCCUACCAAGGCGACGAUCCGUAACUGGUCUGAGAGGGGGACCAGUCACACUGGAACUGAGACACGGGCCAGACUCCUAAGGGAGGCAGCAGUAGGGAAUUUUGGGCAAUGGGCGAAAGCCUGAUCCAGCCAUGCCGCGUGUGUGAAGAAGGUCUUCGGAUUGUAAAACACUUUUAGUUGGGAAGAAGAGCAGUAAAUUAAUACCUUGAUGUCUUGACGUUACCAAAAGAGAAAGCCCCGGCUAACUUCGUG
rnacentral:rRNA from 1 species